rnacentral:pre_miRNA from 1 species
AAUAUUUGACCCUGUUGACUUUUUUGAACAUGUUUGACCGUUCGUCUUAUUCAAAAAUUUUAAGGAAUUAUUAAUUCUUUUCCUAUCAUUUGAUUCAUUGUUAAAUAUAAUUUUAUGUAAAAAUAUAGUUUUACAUAUUUCACAAAAGUUUUUGAAUAAGACGAACAGUCAAACAUGUUUAAAAAAAAUCAAUGGUGAGGGAAUA